GUGGGUGUAGCUCAGUUGGUUAGAGCACCAGAUUGUGGUCCUGGGGGUCGUGGGUUCAAGCCCCAUCAUCCACC
rnacentral:tRNA from 1 species